AAACUGAGGAAGCAGAGAGCAAAGG
rnacentral:piRNA from 1 species